rnacentral:rRNA from 1 species
UACGAAGGGGGCUAGCGUUGUUCGGAAUUACUGGGCGUAAAGCGCGCGCAGGCGGUUUUUCAAGUCAGUGGUGAAAGCCCGGAGCUCAACUCCGGAAAUGCCAUUGAAACUGUUAAACUUGAGGAUGAGAGAGGUGAGUGGAAUUCCCAGUGUAGAGGUGAAAUUCGUAGAUAUUGGGAAGAACACCGGUGGCGAAGGCGGCGAGCUGGUCCAUUACUGACGCUGAGGCGCGACAGCGUGGGGAGCAAACAGG